rnacentral:rRNA from 1 species
AUUGAACGCUGGCGGCAUGCCUUACACAUGCAAGUCGAACGGUAACAGGUCUUCGGAUGCUGACGAGUGGCGCACGGGUGAGUAAUACAUCGGAACGUGCCCAGACGUGGGGGAUAACGAGGCGAAAGCUUUGCUAAUACCGCAUACGAUCUGAGGAUGAAAGCAGGGGACCGCAAGGCCUUGUGCGGUUGGAGCGGCCGAUGGCAGAUUAGGUAGUUGGUGGGAUAAAAGCUUACCAAGCCGACGAUCUGUAGCUGGUCUGAGAGGACGACCAGCCACACUGGGACUGAGACACGGCCCAGACUCCUACGGGAGGCAGCGGUGGGGAAUUUUGGACAAUGGGCGAAAGCCUGAUCCAGCAAUGCCGCGUGCAGGAUGAAGGCCUUCGGGUUGUAAACUGCUUUUGUACGGAACGAAAAGGCUCUGGCUAAUACCUGGGGCACAUGACGGUACCGUAAGAAUAAGCACCGGCUAACUACGUG